AGUGAACGCUGGCGGUAGGCCUAACACAUGCAAGUCGAACGGCAGCACAGUAAGAGCUUGCUCUUACGGGUGGCGAGUGGCGGACGGGUGAGGAAUACAUCGGAAUCUACUUUUUCGUGGGGGAUAACGUAGGGAAACUUACGCUAAUACCGCAUACGACCUACGGGUGAAAGCAGGGGAUCUUCGGACCUUGCGCGAUUGAAUGAGCCGAUGUCGGAUUAGCUAGUUGGCGGGGUAAAGGCCCACCAAGGCGACGAUCCGUAGCUGGUCUGAGAGGAUGACAGGCACACUGGAACUUGGAACACGUCCCGACCUCCUAGGGAGGCAGCAGUGGGGAAUAUUGGACAAUGGGCGCAAGCCUGAUCCAGCCAUACCGCGUGGGUGAAGAAGGCCUUCGGGUUGUAAAGCCCUUUUGUUGGGAAAGAAAAGCAGCAGGUUAAUACCCCGCUGUUCUGACGGUACCCAAAGAAUAAGCACCGGCUAACUUCGUG
rnacentral:rRNA from 1 species